AGGAAGCGCGUGUUCGGGCUCAGUGCGCAUGCGCAUGCGCUUAACGGAUGUUGAAGUGCGUUUACGCACGCACGACGUCACCCUCCGCACGAAGGAGGAAAAAAAAGUCCCUCGUCUUAGCUUUGUGGAGUAUUUGGAUAGUAAAGUGAACAGCUAUUUGGUAAAAAUUAAAUACAGAACCCUCGUGAAAGGGGCUGUCAAUGCCUAUGGGAUCAUCAAAGAUAAUUUCCCCAAGAAUGACCCUUUUCGAAAGCAACUCGGUGGCUUGAAAAGACUUGGUGAAACCUAGCCUAGAGCCCUAUCCCGCCAUGCUCAGCGCCGUUAACGGCCUUUGGCGGGAAAGGCUCCGGGGGCGGGACAGGCUCCGGGGGCGGAACUAACGGGGAGGAGCCGGGCUGUUGCUCCUGAAACCAGGGCAAGUUCUGCUACUGCUUCAAAUCCGGAAUCUAAGUUGCAGGUGAUUCAGUUGAAAGGCAGGGCAUAACUGUAGCUUCCUCCCCAGCCAGAAGGGAUGACAACACCGUACUGCCCUCGAGACCACACCUUUGCUUCUCUCCUAAUUGACUAUCUCUGGACUCAGCGCAAGAAGAAUGAAUCGCUCCUAUUCUUUCAAAGAAUGAGAAAGCGGACCUCACUAUGAAAUCACGAUGAACCUCCUGCCUCCACCUCCUGAGUGCUGAGGCUACAGAUGUGCGCUAUCAUGACCUGCUCUGAUCUAACUUUUAGCCAUUGAUUUAGAUUGCUUCAAGCUCUUUAGGUGGUUAGUAUUAAGUCAAUGCUAACUGAGGUGGUUUAACCUAGGUACUUUUAAUUUCAAGCCAUUUUUAUUCUAGAAAAAUAAGAAAACCAUAAAUUCACUUUGAUUUGUUCUUGUCUGCCUAAUUUAAUGCAAUAAUUUCCAAUUCUGUUCAGUUCAAAGAAAUACAAGUUAGAACUUCAUAUAGAGUGAAUAGAAUACUCUUGUUUCUCUUUUGGUCUUUUUUUUUUUUUAAACAUUCCUUUUAUUAAACAUUUUUUUCUUUUUCUUUUUCUUUUUUGGUACCAGAGAUCAACUCGGGACCUUCCACUUCCAAGGCAGGCUGCAAAACCACUGAGCUAAAUCCCUGGCUAAAUCCCUAAAUCUUGUUUUGUAUUUGAAUGUAAUCAAAGGGUGGGUCCUGGCAUUGAGGAUGGGAUCACUUGUGGCAAGAAGAGUCUAGAUCUCUGUUUAUCAGGGUCUCCCAGGCAUGUUUUAAAUUGGAUGCUCAUCCGAUCAAAGAAUGGAAAGCUGGGCGUGGUAGUGCACGCCUGCAAUCCCAGCGCUCUGGAGGCUGAGGCAGGAGGAUCGCUGCGAGUUUGAGUCCAGCCUGGGCUACAUAGUGAGUUCAGGGCCAGCCUGAACUACGAAGCUUCAAAAAAAAAAAAAAGAAUUGAAUAUAUACCGAGGCUUCAUGAUGCUAUUAGCUUGAUGGUUAUUACAGUUAAAUACAAUCUUAAUUGGGCUGGGGAUUUAGCUCAGUGGUUCUACCGCCUGGUUCAAAAGCACAAGGUCCCAAGUUCUAUCCCUGGUACCCCCCCCAAAAAAGUGUGCAACCUUAUUGAUAUCAGUGUCCCCAAGUUGAUUAACAUAUUUCAGUCUACAAGCUUAAAGGAGAGGGGAAACAAAAACAACUAAACUAUACUAUUUGUGAAUCGGAACAAAAUGAGUAGGAUUAUUUUGAAGACUAUUCCAUUUGGAUUAUGGGGAGACUUGGUGAAGGAUUGCUGCCCCAGAACAGAGUACACAUCUCCAAAAGGGAACAUUUACACUCCCUGCAUUUUGUGUCUGUUCUCUGGACAGUACUUGGUAAGGAUUGGCAAUUCUCUUCCCAUAGGCUAAUCUACACACAAACUUCCUCUAAACAAUGUAUUAGAUUGUUAGGUUUCUGCUGACUGAAUUACAGUCACUUCGGGUUUUGGUUUCUGAGGUUACAGUCUCAUCUUAAUUGGAGUUUGAAGCCAAGGGCAGGUUUCUAAACUUCUCAGUUAUACAUUCACCGGCUUGCUCCCACAACCAGCUAAUUUAUUACAUGUGGACUUUAGGGGGUUCAUUUUUAGGAGCCACCUUACUUCCAACACUUGCUGUUUAUGAAGUUACUUCCCCUAAAAGGAACUUGUGUGUGUGUGUGUGUGUAGUACUGGGAAUUGAACCCAAGGCCUUCACAAUGAGCUAUAUCCACAGUCCAUUUUGAUUUUUUUUUGGUACCGAGGAUUGAACUCAGGACCUUGUGCUUGUGAAGCAGGCAGUGGAACCACUGAGCUAAAUCCCCAGCCCUCCAUUUUGAUUUGUUAUUUGAGAUAGAAUCUUGCCUAGGCUGAGCUCAGCCUUGUGAUUCUCCUGCCCUAUCCUCCUAGUGCUGAAAGUACAGGUAUGCACCACUACACCCUGCUAAUUUAAAAAAAAUUUUUUUUUUUGAAACAGGGUCUCGGUAUUAGCUCAGGCUGGCCUUGAACUCACUAUGUAGGCCAUGCUGGCCUGGAACUCACAGCAGUCCUCCUGCUUCAGCCUCCUAAGCACUGGGAUCACAGGCGUGCGCCAUCACACCCAUCUAAAAAGAAACUUCUACAAAGCAUUCUCUUCAAUCAAAUAUAUACUAGUGUUAGCACUAUACUUUACUCUGGAAAUGAUUACACUGGAAAAAAAAUGAGAAAGAAAUUCAGAAUUACUAUAAGGGUAGACAUCACAAGACCCAGUUUUUCUAGAAAUUUGCUAUACUCUUGAAACUUUAUACCUGUGGUGAUAGUUACACAAUUUGUUUUAUUGUUGUUGUUGUUUUGUUUUAUUUUGUUUUUUUGAGACAGGGUUUUGCUCUGUAGUUCUGGCUAGCCUUUAAUUUAUAGCCUAAGCCGACCUUGAACUUGACAUCUUCCUGCCUCGGCCUCCCAAGUGCUCAGAUUACAGGCAUAUGCCACCAUGCCUUGCUCAUAAUUCUGUGAAUAUACUAAAAAACUAUGGAAUUGUACCAAUAAUUAUAUGGUAUGCAAAUUAUAAUUCAGUGACACUUUUAAGAAUUGAUACAGAGGAAGAGGGAGACUCCCUCACGACACAAUCAGCAAAGUCACUCUCCAGUACCAUUCCUCAGAGUCACUACUGGAGGUGGGAGUCCAAGAGUCAUUUGCACCUAAAUGUGGCUCUCCUAACCUGAACAUUCCUCUUCAACAUUUGUUGUGCCAGUCUUUACUGUCUUCCCUGGAGAUAAAUCUGUUAUUUAUACUGUUAUAUAUAAAGACAUGCUUUACAGAGAUUAGUAAUACUUGAUUCUACUGUGUACAGGAGUUUUCUUCCAGGAAGAGUUCCCUCCAGGAUUCUGUUUCCUUAUGCUGCUUGUUUUCAUGAUAUUUUCUGAAAAGGAAGGAAAUAGUAUACAUCUUUUUGUUUCAUUUAUAUGUGUCUCAUCUUCCUAGUAAAUUACAUUAAGGACAGAUUUCCUUAACUUCAUUUAUUACCAGUAUAUUCUCUGUUAAAAUGAAUAGUAUUGACUAUUUCUUUGAGAAAGGUGGGAUGGUAGGUGAGCAGAAUGUUGUUUCUAUGGAAACUUCUUCAUGUUGCUGUCAGUGGAUAGACACAGUGGGUACAAGGAUUAGUUUUCAUUGCACUGUAUGAUAAAAAACAGCCACUUUUAAAGCCCAAAUAAGUCACCUAAUAAUAGAGUCUUGGUAAUUGUAUUUUGGGACUGGCCUCCCUCAUUCUUUUAUCUUCUUGAGUUUUAGCUAAUUCUUUCCAUCUUUAUUGUCUCAUUAUUGAUCACAAGAGGAUAUAAUUUUAUUAGAAAACAGCUCUUAAAAUGAUUUAUUACAAAAGAUACAUUUACAUGCUUACAUGUGCUUCACCAGCUGGUACCUAUUCCCCACUAUCUCAGUGAUUAAGUACUGAGGGCUGGUGGCAAUAAACUCUUCCAAUGUCCGUCCAGCCCAGAAGUGGAGGUAUUGUUCUGCUUCAGUUGGUUGCCUUUUUCUGUUGUCUACAGUAAAAAUUGUCAAGCAUUGUAAGAGUGCAGGUUCCUGUGACCAUGCUUUUUUUUUUUUUUUUUUCCUGUGACCAUUCUUCCACUGAAGUAAUGUUGUAUACAAUAGUCCGUAACAAUUUCUAUAAAUUAAUGUCUUAGUUACUUUCUUCAUUGCUGAGACAUGAUAUACCCACAAUACACCCACAAUUUAAAGUCCGGUCACAGUGUGUAAAGAUUUCAGCCCAUAGUCCAUUGACUGUAAGGCAGGAUGGCAUAGCAGAGGAGAAAAGUACUUUCAUGGCAAGGUGGCAGGAAGCAGGGAGAUAGACCAUUCCAGCCGUACCCUCAGUGACCCACCUCCUCCAACCAGGCUCUACUUACCUACACCCUGGUUAGCUAUAAACUCAUAGUGGACUAAUCCACUGAUGAUUAUCACACCCCCAUGAUCCAGUCACCUCUCAAAAGCCCUACCUGUGAGCGCAUAGGGCUUUGGGGGACAUCUAGAUAUAAACCAUAACAAUAAAUAUCUGUUAAUGUUUUGAAAUCAUUCUUUUUCAGGCUGGUGCUGGUCCCCAAUGGCCGCAAGACACUACUAGGUGUGCAUAUCUCUGCAGUCUACAGCCAGAUUCACGUCCCAUCCUGCUCCAUAUGGCCCAGGGCUACUCUGCUUCAUCAGUUCUCUCCAAAUUAAUGGCUGCUUUUCUUAGAAUCCAAACUCCAAGGAAGGAAAAAUUUUUCCCUUGGAUCUAAGUAUCCAUUUCUUGUCUUGGAAAUGACUGAGUGUAAAUGUUUGCCUUUAGAGGCUUUUCCUCUCUUUUCUAUAGAAGUAUAGCCUCUUCCUCUGCCCACAACAGAACAGUUUCAUCAGUUCACACUGGGCCAACAUGGAUAUAUUUUUUGAAGUUUUCAUUGUUAACAAUUAAUACAAUAUUGAACACUAGCAGUAGUUAAUUAUCAUAGUCAGAGUGGAACUUUGCUGGCAAAACAUGAUUCCAGUUUCAGUUUCUCUAGUUAGCGGUGAAACCAAGUUUCAAUAUCUUCCAUGUGGUGUUGUGGCUUGUGUCUAGAUGUUCCCCCAAAGUCUCAUGUAGUCACAGGGCUUUUUCAGAAGUGACUGAGUCUAGAGUGUGUGACACUGGGAUUAAGGAUAUGUGAUUACUCAAUCAGUCCAUUGAUUAGUUUGGCAUUGCCCUAAUCCCAGUAGUCUGGAUAAGAUAAAAGGGGCAGAAAGGUGCUUUGGUCCCUUGUUCCUUUGCUACCUUUGGUCACCAUGAACUGUUGUCCCUCUGUCAGGUGCCACCCUGCCUUGGAGCCAGCCAAUUAUGGACUGAAUCCUCUACAAACUGAGAAAAGAAGCUCCGGUAAAUUUUCGGCCUGCAAAGAUAGAACAGAGGAGAUCUUGAUGGCUGAGAAAGAACAGGAGAAAAGAAAAAAUGGCCUGAGGGCAUCAUGAGAAGCAGCAGGGACUCCACCCUUUGCACCCUCAAAAUUGCAAAAGUGAAAGACUGCUUUGAGAAGAGAGCCUCAGAGCACCGUGUUCCAUAAUGGCAACAGCCUGGGAAAUUUGUUCUUCAGGGAGAUGGUUCAUAGGCACUGGACCCCAACAGCCAAGAGAGAAGGAAGCCUGGUGAUUACUCCAGCUGGCAACAGACUUUGGCAUUAUCCACAUGGUGUUGGUUUUAGGUGGACGUAGAAUGGAAGAGUUGUGGGGUCAGGAAGGCUUCUACCCAGAUUUCAGAAGAAGGCCUGGGAGGCCAGGGAGUCACCGUGCCCCUGAGAGGGCAGUGUGUGAAGCUGUGAGUAUGAAGCCGAAGCUGCAGUGGAGACCCCAGAAGUUUGGAGAAGCCAGAAAUGUGGAUCGUUUGAGAAAUACUGAAAGGAAGGAGCAGAGCCAGCUGCAGAGAGAAGCCAUGGAAGCUACAACCAUGGGGAGUGCCAUAGAGGCGGAGCCACCCAAGCCCUUUGGUGUUUACAAUUUUCCACAGUUUGCCAGGGAUGCUAGAAGUGGAGCGAUGGGGUUUCAUGUUUGCCCUGCUGGAUUUUGGAUUUGCUUUGGUCCCAUUCCUUUGUAUCCCCAUUUUGGAAUGGAAAUGUCUAUAUUGUGCCAUUAAAUGUUGGAAGUGUAGGGCCGGGGAUUUAGCUCAGUGGCACUGAGCCUGCCUCCCAAGCGCAAGGUCCUGAGUUCAAUCCCCGGUACCAAAAAAAAAAAUGUUGGAAGUGUUUAACUUUCUUUUCAUUUGUACGAGGGCUUGCAGCUAAGAGUCUGCCUUAAAUCUGAGAGGAGACUUUGGACUUGGAAUUUUCAGCAGUCCUGAAAAUGUUAGGACUUUGGCAACUCCUAGAGCUGGACUCAAUGCCUUUUACAUAAAGGGAUAUGCAUGAGUCUUUGGGGGCCCAGAGGUGGAAUGUUAUGGUUUGUGCCUAGAUGUCCACUCAAAGCUUUUUCAGAGAUGGCUGAAUCUAGAGUGUGUGACACUGGGAUUAAGGGUAUGUGAUUACUAAAUCAGUCCACUGAUUGGUUUGACACUGCCCUAAUUCUGGUAGUCUGGAUAAGAUAAAAGGCGUAGAAAGACGAUAUUAAGGUCCCAUGUUGCUUUGCUGCCUUUGGUCCACCAUGAACUAUUACCCCUCUGCCAUGUGCCACCCUGCCUUGGAGCCAACCAAUUAUGGACUGAAUCCUCUACAAACUGUAAGCUAAAUAAACCUUUCCCUUUUUAACUUUGGUGUUGGGUAUUUUGUCUCAGCAAUGAGAUAAUAAC